rnacentral:ncRNA from 1 species
UGCCGAGUGUAUUAUUUAUGCCGAGUGUCUUCCAGUAUACACUCGGUAAAGGUUGUGUUUGUCGAGUGCCCGACAGAAAGCACUCGGCAAAGAUUUUAUACCCCCAAGAGUCCACAUCGACGGGAAGGUUUGGCACCUCGAUGUCGGCUCUUCGCCACCUGGAGCUGUAGGUGGUUCCAAGGGUUGGGCUGUUCGCCCAUUAAUGCGGUACGUGAGCUGGGUUCAGAGACGUCAAGAGACAGUUAUAGUCCAUAUCGCGUGUGGGCGUUAGAGCAUUGAGAGACCUUUCCUAGUACGAGAGAUCGGGAAGGACGCACUCUGGUGUACCAGUUAUCGUGCUACGGUAAACGCUGGGUAGCCAAGUGUGGAGAGGAUAACUGCUGAAAGCAUAUAAGUAGUAAGCCCACCCUAAGAUGAGUACUCUCUCCUCCGACUUCCCUAGAGCCUCCGGUAGCACAGCCGAGACAACGACGGGUUCUCGGCAAA